UACGUAGGGAACGAGCGUUAUCCGGAAUUAUUGGGCGUAAAGAGCUCGUAGGCGGUGUGUCGCGUCGGCCGUGGAAACCUGCAGCUUAACUGUGGGCUUGCGGUCGAUACGGGCAUCACUGGAGUUCGGCAGGGGAGACUGGAAUUCCUGGUGUAGCGGUGAAAUGCGCGGAUAUCAGGAGGAACACCGGUGGCGAAGGCGGGUCUCUGGGCCGAUACUGACGCUGAGGAGCGAAAGCGUGGGGAGCGAACAGG
rnacentral:rRNA from 1 species